GAUGAAGAACGUAGCGAAAUGCGAUACUUGGUGUGAAUUGCAGAAUCCCGUGAACCAUCGAGUCUUUGAACGCAAGUUGCGCCCGAAGCCAUUAGGCCGAGGGCACGCCUGCCUGGGCGUCACACGUCGUUGCCCCCCCCAUCUACUCCUUCGGGAUUGCGGGGGGCGGAUGAUGGCCUCCCGUGCGCCUCGCCGCGCGGUUGGCAUAAAUGCCAAGUCCUCGGCGACGCACGCCACGACAAUCGGUGGUUGCGAAACCUCGGUUGCCGUCGUGUGCGGUCGUCGCGCAUCGAGGGCUCGAAAAAAUUGCCGAGUUCCGGCUCGGCUUUCAACGCGACCCCAGGUCAGGCGGGGUUACCCGCUGAAUUUAAGCAUAUCAAUAAGCGGAGGA
rnacentral:misc_RNA from 1 species